GACAGGUGCUGCAUGGCUGUCGUCAGCUCGUGUCGUGAGAUGUUGGGUUAAGUCCCGCACGAGCGCAACCCUUGCCUUUAGUUGCCAGCAGUUCGGCUGGGCACUCUAAAGGGACUGCCGGUGUUAAACCGGAGGAAGUGGGGAUGACGUCAAGUCCUCAUGGCCUUUAUGACCAGGGCUACACACGUACUACAAUGGCCGAUACAAAGGGCAGCGACACUGCGAGGUGAAGCCAACCCCGUAAAAUCGGUCUCAGUCCGGAUUGGAGUCUGCAACUCGACUCCAUGAAGUUGGAAUCGCUAGUAAUCGUGGAUCAGCAUGCCACGGUGAAUACGUUCCCGGGCCUU
rnacentral:rRNA from 1 species